CCCACCCCGUUAGCCAAGGCCAGCCUUGUGCCGGGAAGGGGCAGGGGCUCCCGAGACCUGGGUAGGAGCCGACUCUGAAGUUGUGCCACGGGUUCAAGUAUGAGCCAUGCAGCUGGCAGCUCUUUUAUGGCCCCACGGACACACUUUUGGCAUAAGUGCUUUGCUGGUCUGGUCUAAACCGAUUGCAGGAUUUACCAAUCAGUUUUGUAAGAAUCCUUUUGCACCAAUUUAUUGCAAAAUUCAUCCGUCAGUUGUGUACUAUAUAUAACAGGGGCCUUGUAAGAAUAGUUAAAAGCAGCAAUGGUGGUACUUGAGGCUUGGUCUUUUGAUAAGGAAACGUGAAUUGCAGGUAGUAAGCAAACUCUUCGUGAAAUAACAGCAUAGUGUUUCUUUGUUAGCUGAACAGGAUAAGAUGGAAAUGUCCCUCUUGUUUAGCUGAUGUAAAUGUGUGUAAGAAGUGAAAGGUGAAUUUAGAGUAGUUCUGGGAAGUCAGAACUGUAGGACAGAAGGAUCCAUUGAGGACUGACUGAUGCCCCUGCACAGUGGGUGGUGCGAUGCCUAAUUUCACUUACUGAACCCUAAUGGGUUACUGCUAAACUGCUUUAAUCUAUAAUUGUGUUUUCUAAUACGUUCCCUUGGUCUUCUGAACUCUCUCCUCUGCUUCCCAAAUUUGGGAUGGGGGGGAUCUGAGACUCCUUCAGGGGACGCAUCUAAAAAUUGUAUCUAGCCUAGCAGUUCUUAGCCUUAGACAUCCCUUCAGGAAAAGCUAGAUUUUAGCUUUCACCUAUUCUUCACUCAUUCGUGACUUGUUCUUCUUGGGAAAAUAGAGCAAUUCUUCUUUGGCAAAGAAUUCAGAAAGACCACAGCAGUGGGAACUUUUUUUUCAUAUCAAUCCAAUGGUCUUGCACCAACAGGAAAGAAACUGUUUGGGGCUGUGGGCUGUGCUGUGGUGCUGCCUGGACCAGAGCAAAUUGGCACCAGUAAGUUUAUAAAGUGGGAGUAUAAAAAAGAUGAAAGUGUCACCAAAGAGCUUCUUAUCUUAAUGUAUUAUGUGGAGACCCAUGACUUGCAAAUCCGGGUAAAAUAUCAAGAUGAUGCUGAUUUCAAUGAAACUGAUGGGUCCCUGAGACUACGAAAGUUGCAACUAAACGACAGAGGCCUCUACAGAUACAGACUAUCAACAACCACUGGCAAAUGGAUCCAACUGGAGGUUAUCAAGCCCCUCCCUAAGCCAACACUCCAGCACAACCUUCACAAUGGUACACAGCAGGGAAUCACUGUUGAAUUGGUGUGCAGUGUGGCAGCAGAGAAAGUGGAUGCUUAUGAGUGGAGAAAGAAUUGUGAGCCUCUUCCAGCAAACAGCCGCUAUCAGCUCCACUCUAAUAACAGCAUAUUACUCCUACAGAAUGUAAUACAGUCUGAUAAUGGCAAUUAUUCCUGCAAGGUCAGCAAUGAAGUUAGCUGGAAUGAAACUGUCCUGCUUCUGAACCUCCAGAAUUUCACAGAUUCAGCUCUCCUGAUUUUUCCUGGAGUCAUUGUGGAAGCUGUUUGUCUUUUAAUUGCAGCAAUGGAUUGGGGCUUUAUUCACUGAAUGAAAAAUCUUCCCUGCCUUCAUCCAGAUCAAGAAACAAUUGACAUUUGUCAGGAGGAAAGUAAUGAACAUAGUACAUUAUAAAAAUGACUGCCUUCUUCAGCCUGCACUUCAGUGUUUUACUACUUAAGACUCCUUGCCAUCAUCAGAUCUCUUAGAAAUUUCUUCAGUAUUGCUGCACCUCAGAAGAGUGGUCUUAAAUACAUUAUAAUGUAAUCUGUGAUUCUCUGACAUGGAGUGGUCAGAUGUCUCUCAAAAUACUGUGUUAGCACUUUUAAAAAGUCUGUCUUGAGCAGAAAAAGACUAAAAGAGAGAUGGUAUUUGUAGAAACUGAAUUUGAAAAUCAUAACAUUAUUUCCACGAAAAAAUAUAUUGAAAUAUAAUUUAAAAAAUUGAAUAACUAGAAUUUAACCUGAGUAGCCUGUAGCCUUUAGCGAUAGCAGUCUCUUGAGAGGUGGAUUAGAACAGUGGUUGGCAAAGUUUUGCAAGGGGCAAGCCAAAACAACCCAGCUCAGGUGAGAUGGGCUGGCGCUUCUGACCCAGCUGCUGUUGAUUGCAGCUGCCAGCUUUCCCCGCACCUGGCUGUGAUACAGGCAAGUCCCUCUACUGCCAGAGCACCACCAAGAUUGACCAGAUCCACUGGCUGUAGGCUGCCAAUUCCCAGAUUAGCUUAUUGUAGGCAGAGAAAGUCAUAGGCUGCAGAAUGAGGUGGGCCACCCAGUCCAUGGCCUGACCAACUUUUAGCAUGUUAAUUUAGCUAGCUAUGCAGGUAAAAAAAUAGCUAUACAAUUUUAACUGGAAUGACAAUUGCUCAUUUGUGGGUUAUAUAAAUUAAUGUGCUAAAAGUUGAACCAUGACCUAGGUGGCCCACCCCAUUCUGUGGCCUAUGGAAGGCCUAUUUAAUUUGGGUCUCCCACAUCCUGGCUCCAUGCUGUAAUCACUGAUUUAUUUUGCAGAGGAGAACGUUCUUACUAUUGUUUAUUCUGGCUGUGUUUAAAACGAAAGCAGCAGCCUGAUCCGUUAGGUGCAGUAUGAGAAUGCAUAGUGCAUUGAGCCACUCGGAGAAGACAGGUGGAGGUUUUGGGCCCUGAUCAAUCCUAGGGCUGAAAGAGAUGCCAAGAUUGUCAGUUCUAUCAGGACUGAGGCUGUCCUGGACAUAUUAUUGGUAUAUUAAACAGACAAAGAACAAAAUUAUGGGUGAAAAAUGUAAGGAUUUAUUAAGAACAACAAGAAAAUAAAAGAAGGGGGGGGUGAAAAAUAAUAACAACAACAGGAUCAAGAACAGUUUGGGACACACAGAGAUAACAAUACACAGCCGGGCAAUAAAAUCAAUAUGUUACUAAGCCACAACUGUAGUGAAGUCACUGAAAGCAAACAACACCAAGUUAGAGAUCUAGUCAUUCUCAGAAAGAAGCUCCAUUUAAGCAGGGAGCUCAUCAUAAGAAUUGAAGAUCUCCUCAUUAUUGCUCCUCACCCUUCACAGAGAGCCACAGUACUGCACACAACAGAACCACAACCCCAGGCACAGCACUGCACAGACCCUACAGAAACCAGCUCUCACACACCACACCAGCAGCCCAUGCACCAGAUGUACCAGACACUGGGUUUACUAUCUUUAUCACUCCACUUCUCUCACCCAGUCGUUCUGGGUAAACACUUGUCCAUCACAUGCCUCACCAAUCACUUUCAUGCUCACCUUGAUACACUUUUUGUCAAUCAAAUUAAUUUCGCACCUCAGGAUUUCACAAAACAUUCCUGUCAAUAUUGUGGACACAUCUGAGCAUGCUUAUAUCUUCCAUCUAGAUCAACAGUUCAUCUGUUCCAGAGGGUUCUUCAAAUGGCUUUUGCACAUGCUCAACACUUCAACUCUAACAGCUUCUUCAAGUAUAAAUGACAUUGGUACCAAAUUAGUCACACCCAGACAGGCAGUAAGUAGUGAUUCUCCCUUUCACAUUUAAAAAUAAUCAUCUCCCUUAAUAAGAAAAAACACUCUUUUUGGCAUUUUUUUUAGCUAAACACUUCCCAAGUUCAUAGUUUGUAGUAGCUGGAUUCCUAACUCCCAAGUAAAAUAAUAAAACUCCUAUGAAAUACUCUAAGCAUAAACAAAAAUAGUAGUUUAAUCUUCAGAUAUCUUUGACAUGCACAAUUAGCAUUCAGAAAUAUGAUACAAAAUAGAAAUGCUAAAGCCGCAUUUCUGUUAGACAUGGGUGCUUGGGGCUCAGUGCUAACAAGGUCACAAGUUGGGAGUCCAAGCACCAGGAGCUAGGUAAGUAUUCAGGCAUGGGCUAGGCAGGGAUUCAGACACUAGUUAGGGGCUAGGAGUUGCAGAGAGAGGCAUCUAUGGAGUGCUGAGUAGCCAAAGAAAACUGGGAGUGCUGUUCCCAGUAUAAAGUGACUGCUUAUACCUAGGCUACCAUACCCAUGCUGGUUAUUGGGAUGGGCUGGAAAUAAUUAGGCUGCUGGAAAUCAGGGCUAGCCAAGGGCUAAUCAGGCUGUCUGUUUCCCUAAUUCCAGUCUUCCAACAGACCAACUCAUGGUACACAUGGACUUAUUAGCAUUUAUUAGUGGAAAGCAGAGAUUUUUAAAAAAUAAGUUCUUUAUUUACCUUGAACACUUUGUUCUAUAAAACAAGUAAAUGCAUUAUUAUUCUCCAGCCCCCACCUGUGUUUGUAUCAUUGCUGACCUUUGCACCCUACACACAGUUAUGGUUAAGACCUGCUGAAGUCUUGGAUCUGCAGGCAUUUAUAUUCUCAAUUCAAGGUAAUGGUGGCAAUCAAGGUCCUUCAUGUAGUAAAAUAGCCAGAGAGCUGUAGGAGGAAUCACAUGGCAGGUCAGAGCUAAGCCAUUUUGACAGUGUUUUUCUGGUGCCUAAAGUAAAAGAAGAACUGGUUUGUUGAGCAUAUAGUGGAUGACAGAAAAGGCUGGAGAAGAAUUCAGCAUGUCCUUGACGUACUGGAUUAACUGUGGUCAUGUAUCUGCUUCAUUCAAGACAAUAAGGAAACUUUAUGGACCUUUUUUUUAAUUAGUAAGGAUUAUUCCAUAGUAUUUUUCCUAAUAUCUAACCUAAACCUCCCUUGCUGCAACUUGAGUCCAUCGUUUCUUGUUAUGUCAUCUGUCACCACUGAGAACAGUCUAGCUGCAUCUUUGGAAUCACCCUUCAGAUGGUUAAAAACUGCUAUCAAACCCCCCUCUCAGUCUUUUUUUCUGUGGACUAAAUAAACCCAGUUCCCUCAGCCAUUCAGAAUUCAUGCCCCACAGCUCCCUAACCAUUUUUUGUUGCCCUCCGUUGGACUCUUUCCAAUUUGUCCACAUCCUUUCUAUUGCGGGGGGACCCAAAACUGGACACAGGAUUCCAGAUGUGGCUCACCAGUGCAGAAGAGGGCAAUAAUUACUUCCCUUGAUCUGUUGGCAACGCUCCUACUAGUGCAACCCAGUAUGCUGUUAGCCUUCUUGGCAACAAGGGCCCCACUGUUGACUCAUAUCCAGCUUGUCCCUUGCCACCCUCGGAUCCUUUCUGCAGAGCUGGUUAGCCAGUUGGUCUCAAGCCUGUGGCAGUGCAGGUCAUAAGGGGACUGAUGCUGUAAAAGGAAGUUGAGUAAAUGUAGCUGAGGGCUCAGUCCUCACCAUAACUUUGUGGAAAUCUCAGGUGAAAAGGCCCUGCAGCUCAGGAGUCUCAAGAAAAGGGGAGGCUCCAAAUAGGAGUUUUCUCCACGUGGCUCAAUGCACUAUGCAUUCUCAUACUGCACCUAACAGAUCAGGCUGCUGCUUUCGUUUUAAACACAGCCAGAAUAAACAAUAGUAAGAAUGACCCUUGCACUCCAGGCAGGUGUUGACCCCUAUAAGUCUUUCCAAAUAUGGGAAUCUCAAUUGCACAAUUUUGUGGCAAUGUGGGACUGGUUUUGCACUUUCCCCUUAGCUUUAAAGUGUCAAUGAACAAUAUAAGAAGAUUGGGUGGUUUUGAAAAUAAGCUUGGCAUUACCAUCUUUACUUGAAGAUGAUUCUGAUUAUAAUAAUUAAAUUCUCUGUAUAAUUAGAUUUUAUACCUGGAAAAUUAUAAAAUUAUAAUACAUUUAUACAUUUUCCAUAUAGAGAACCUAAUUAUUGUGGGGUUGACUUAUAAUCAGAGUCAUCUUCUAUUCCAGUAAAGAUGGUAAUGCUAAACUUAUUUUCAAAACUUCUCAAUCUCGUUAUAUUGUUCAUUGACACUUCUUGCUCUUUGGUGUUUGUGUCAAUGUGAUGUAGUUUUUAGCUCUGUGACACUGGUAAAGCCAUUGUUUUAAAUCCACUUUUAAUUAAAAAUAAAGGGAAAAUAACUUUCAGACAUGUGACUUAUAAAUAGCAUAAACAGGGAGGUAAAUAUCUUCAAUGUAUGUAUACUUUUAUACUGGAUCUCAAUAAGACGUGUAUAUCUCAUUUAAUCCUCUGUUAUAAGGAGAGUUCCUCUAUUGGGCCAAUACAAUGUUUAUUAUAAGAGAAGUAGUAAGUUUAGAUGAAGGUCUUUUAGUAUGGGUACUUGCUGCUUCUCUCUGAUGAUGAUAAUCUUAUUCAACAAAGCCUUGAUAGAUGUCAGCAGAGUUUCUGAGAAAAGUCACUGCUUGUAUAAAUAGAGAGUACUGUGGUCUAGUUAAAAUAUUAUUCCAAGUGAUUCUACACAGUGCAAUUCAACCUUUUUUUCAGACCAUAAAUUACAAUAAAACCACUGUCUGGGAGAUUCUGAAUUAAACUUCUUGAAUCAUCA